GCUGAAGUGGUGGAAUUGGUAGACACGCUAGCCUAAGGAGCUAGUGAAGUAAAAUUCGUGCGAGUUCGAGUCUCGCCUUCAGCACCA
rnacentral:tRNA from 1 species